rnacentral:piRNA from 1 species
UUCUUUUCUAACUCCUUUGCUGCCU